AGAGUUUGAUCAUGGCUCAGGACGAACGCUGGCGGCGUGCUUAACACAUGCAAGUCGAACGGUGAACCUGCUUCGGUGGGGGAUCAGUGGCGAACGGGUGAGUAACACGUGGGCAACCUGCCCCCGGCUCUGGGAUAACUCCAAGAAAUUGGGGCUAAUACCGGAUAUGACCGCUGGCCGCAUGGUCUGGUGGUGGAAAGAUUUAUCGGCUGGGGAUGGGCCCGCGGCCUAUCAGCUUGUUGGUGGGGUAGUGGCCUACCAAGGCGACGACGGGUAGCCGGCCUGAGAGGGUGACCGGCCACACUGGGACUGAGACACGGCCCAGACUCCUACGGGAGGCAGCAGUGGGGAAUAUUGCGCAAUGGGCGGAAGCCUGACGCAGCGACGCCGCGUGGGGGAUGACGGCCUUCGGGUUGUAAACCUCUUUCAGCAGGGACGAAGCGCAAGUGACGGUACCUGCAGAAGAAGCGCCGGCCAACUACGUGCCAGCAGCCGCGGUAAGACGUAGGGCGCGAGCGUUGUCCGGAUUUAUUGGGCGUAAAGAGCUCGUAGGCGGCUUGUCGCGUCGACCGUGAAAACUUGGGGCUCAACCCCAAGCCUGCGGUCGAUACGGGCAGGCUAGAGUUCGGUAGGGGAGACUGGAAUUCCUGGUGUAGCGGUGAAAUGCGCAGAUAUCAGGAGGAACACCGGUGGCGAAGGCGGGUCUCUGGGCCGAUACUGACGCUGAGGAGCGAAAGCGUGGGGAGCGAACAGGAUUAGAUACCCUAGUAGUCC
rnacentral:rRNA from 1 species